UAAAUGACCGCUCAGUGAUAAAGGAGGUAGGGGUGUAGAGACAGCAAUGAGGUUUGCCUAGAAGCAGCCACCCUUGAAAGAGUGCGUAAUAGCUCACUAAUCGAGCGCUCUUGCGCCGAAGAUGAAGGGGGCUAAGCGAUCU
rnacentral:ncRNA from 2 species